CAGCAGCCACGGUAAUACGUAGGUGGCAAGCGUUGUCCGGAAUUAUUGGGCGUAAAGGGCUCGCAGGCGGUUCCUUAAGUCUGAUGUGAAAGCCCCCGGCUCAACCGGGGAGGGUCAUUGGAAACUGGGAAACUUGAGUGCAGAAGAGGAGAGUGGAAUUCCACGUGUAGCGGUGAAAUGCGUAGAGAUGUGGAGGAACACCAGUGGCGAAGGCGACUCUCUGGUCUGUAACUGACGCUGAGGAGCGAAAGCGUGGGGAGCGAACAGGAUUAGAUACCCCCGUAGUCCCUGUCUCUUAUAC
rnacentral:rRNA from 1 species